GAUCGUGUGGAGGGACGCUAUGUGACUGUGCGUAUACCGGGUGAUGGAAAGCUCCUUACCCUCUGUGAGGUGGAAGUCUACGGGUACCUUGCCCCAACUGGUUUGCUGUAAUCACCAGCAUCCCGGCAGGUCAAACUGAGUUCAAGGUUCCCAACGGGAUGGACGGCCGCUAUGUUUACAUAGGUAUCACUGGAAGACAUGAGUUCCUGACCCUCUGUGAGGUGGAGGUGUUUGGCUCUGCACUGGAUUAGCAUUCAAUGUAAUGGAUUUGCAAAGAUGCUGUAAUGUGUACACAAAGCAUCCAAAAUAAAAUGUGCACCUUAAAUUGCAUUGUUUGCAUGACUUCAAGAUUUACUGUUGGAGAUUGCAACAAAAGUCUGCCUUGACUUUUGCUUUUACACGGGACUUGUACACCUUUUGGGAAUGUGCUUGUCUUAUGUCAUAAGAAAAUAACUGAUAUUUGUUUUUCUAUCAAUCAUUUAAGAACAGUGAAAGCAAUGGUUCUGAAGGCAGGUUUUUUAUUUAUUUAAAUACAGACAUAAUAGACAAAUAUUAUAAAAGACAUCUGAAAGCUUUCUUACCCAAAGUUAGAUCAGAAGAUCGAUCCCCAUCAUGUCUGUAAGAGUGGUAUCUUGAUAACUGAAGGGCCGCAGACAAUAUUAAAGUUCAAACAACUAAUGUAUGUCUGGAGGCCCAAACAAAGACCAGUUUCCUCUGUA